AGGAGAAGACAGCCACCAUGCAGAUUGGAAAAUCUGGACGAGGAGAAAAGGGGUAUACGAUUCUCCAAGCUUCCUGCUGACCCCCUUGCUCUCCAUUCCUGCUGUCUCACUAGUUCCUUGACCUUCUGUGAUCUCCUGAUCUGAUUUUCUGCUGGAAUCACAGGAUCUGGCCCUUUCCCUCUCUCCACCUCACUCCUGCACUGCACUGACCCAGCCUGGCCCACCUCUGGCCACUCCUCCACAGACUGAGGU